rnacentral:rRNA from 1 species
CCUACGGGAGGCAGCAGUGGGGAAUAUUGGGCAAUGGGCGCAAGCCUGACCCAGCAAUGCCGCGUGAAGGAUGAAGGCUUUCGGGUUGUAAAAUUCUGUGACAGGGGACGAGCAGAAGACGGUACCCUGAAAACAAGCCAGGGCGAACUACGUGCGAGCAGCCGCGGUAAUACGUAGGUGGCAAGCGUUGUCCGGAAUUACUGGGCGUAAAGGGCGUGUAGCCGGGGAGGCAAGUCAGAUGUGAAAUCUGGAGGCUCAACCUCCAAAUUGCAUUUGAAACUGUUUUUCUUGAGUACUGGAGAGGCAGACGGAAUUCCUUGUGUAGCGGUGAAAUGCGUAGAUAUAAGGAGGAACACCAGUGGCGAAGGCGGUCUGCUGGACAGCAACUGACGGUGAGGCGCGAAAGCGUGGGGAGCAAACAGGAUUAGAUACCCCAGUAGUC